GUAAAGGCAUAAGGGAGCUUGACUGCGAGAUCUACAAAUCGAGCAGGUGCGAAAGCAGGUCUUAGUGAUCCGGUGGUUCUGGAUGGAAGGGCCAUCGCUCAUCGGAUAAAAGGUACGCCGGGGAUAACAGGCUGAUCGCGCCCGAGAGUUCAUAUCGACGGCGCGGUUUGGCACCUCGAUGUCGGCUCAUCGCAUCCUGGGGCUGAAGUUGGUCCCAAGGGUUUGGCUGUUCGCCAAUUAAAGCGGUACGCGAGCUGGGUUCAGAACGUCGUGAGACAGUUCGGUCCCUAUCUUCCGUGGGCGCAGGAAAUUUGAGAGGAUCUGUCCUUAGUACGAGAGGACCGGGAUGGACGAACCUCUAGUGCACCAGUUAUCCCUCCAGGGGUAUGGCUGGGUAGCCAUGUUCGGAUCAGAUAACCGCUGAAAGCAUAUAAGCGGGAAACUGACCUCAAGAUAAGAUUUCCCUCCCGUGUAAACGGGGUAAGACUCCUUCGAGACUAGGAGGUUGAUAGGCGGCAGGUAGAAGCGUUGUAAGACGUUUAGCCGAGCCGUACUAAUCAGUCGAGCGGCUUGACCAUAUUU
rnacentral:rRNA from 1 species